rnacentral:rRNA from 1 species
UACGUAGGGUGCGAGCGUUAAUCGGAAUUACUGGGCGUAAAGCGUGCGCAGGCGGUGCUGUAAGACAGGCGUGAAAUCCCCGGGCUUAACCUGGGAAUGGCGCUUGUGACUGCAGUGCUGGAGUGCGGCGGAGGGGGAUGGAAUUCCGCGUGUAGCAGUGAAAUGCGUAGAUAUGCGGAGGAACACCAAUGGCGAAGGCAAUCCCCUGGGCCUGUACUGACGCUCAUGCACGAAAGCGUGGGGAGCAAACAGG